rnacentral:tRNA from 1 species
AGUAAGGUGGCUGAAAAUAAGCUUUAGUCUGUAAAACUAAUUAUGGAAUAAUCUUCCCCUUUCU